AGGAAAGCCACGGGCCGAGACAGCGAAGGGACACGACAACUACAGCCGCAGCAGCACACUUCCUGGACACGCAGCACUCGCACCCGGGGCUCUGAGCUCUUCACAUGGGAACUCCCUCGGGCCACACGGCAACCACGGCCAUCGGUGCCAUUCCGUCCCCAGUUCCCACGUCUACACAAAGGCCCCGUGCGGCGGGUGAGGGGCAGAACCCAGCUCUGAACCCAGGCAGCCAGGCUCCCUCGUGGGAAAGAGCCGCAAACCUCCCCGCGGGACAGGAGGACGGCCGCCAUGUUCAGGUCCCACGUGGGACUCUGCCCCCUGGAGAAGCACCUCCAGACCCGCGAUGCUCAGCAGCCACGCCAGGGCAACAACUCCCAGUACCACCACCAACGCAACCCUCUUUCCCACGCUCCAGACAGACGUGUCCUAGCCCACAGGUGUCGUCUUGCCUCUCAACCACCUGCUUCUAGGCUACAGCCUGCCCGGGACAAUGACAGCACACCUCCCUUGAUGCCCGGGACCCCGGGAACAGGCCAGACUUCUCCUCCCCCGCUCCAGUCACCCCCACGCCCUCUGCGUCACCCUCCUCACCGCCUCAUGGGGCCGGCCCUGCCUUGGCCUGUCUCUGGGCCCGCUCCCGUCAGCCUGUGAUGCCUCCCUGUGCGCCCUGUCCCGUCUUCUCUCAGCCUCACCCUACACCUGCCUUCCUCGGGGACCUGAACUAAGGCCAAAGAUGUAGUGACCUUCCAAAAGGUACAACAAGAACGUGUCCCAUGCUGUUUCAGGAGGGAGGCGAAACCCCUAGCAGGGGUGCGGGCUGGACAGCCCCGUGCACUCCGCCAGGCCUCUGGGUCACGGAGGCAGUCUGCAAGACCCGGCUCCCAGCCGUGGCUCAGACCUACAACGGCUCACGCACGUGCAGCAAACCCAGCACUCAAGCGCCUACGGCUUCUUACCCCUGAGGCUUCAACGCCUUAAAUUCAUAAAUUCCCAAACCUUCCUGGCACAGAGCCCUCUUCAUGACUGUUCUGAGCACAUUAUACACUCCGGUUGCAACACCCCACUCACGGGGAGCCCCUAGGCUUUGGUGCCGCCUAAGCGGCUAUAUUUACCACGCUCCACGUCUGGAGGAGCUCUGCACCCUGCUACCCCUACCUCUGAGAUCAUGAGAAGCCUCCUGACCUCCUCCCCCAACCUUCCUUCCCGAGGCUGAUGGCACCUCCAGAGCCCGCCCAAGACGAUGGGCCCAUUCGAAGGAGAGAACUGCUGAACAGGCCUCAUGCUACGAAGGCGUGGGGCGCAGGCAUGACAAGCAUGAGCCGCAUCGUUUCCAAACAAGUCGAGCCUGCAGAACAAGAACGAGCCUUGCGCCCAAGGAGGCAAACCCCUGUCCCGCCUGGACAUCACUGAGCUGGUGGUCUACGUUCCCAGGUGGCCUUCCAGGGAGACCUGGAAAGAAUAUUCAAACAAGAGCAAAAGACAAAAGUCGCUUGGCCCACGGCACCAUCUGGCAUUUCUCCUGCGCGGACACCAGAGGGCUGACGCGUGCUCCCGCGACAGCACAUCACCCGCUGAGGCUGGAAGCAACGCUGGACGAGUCCACACGGUGGCACAGAGGAUGGACACGGAGCAGGGUCCGCGCGGGAACCUGGACCCCUCUCGCAGACCCUAGCACCUCUCAGCAGUCACAGCCCCGCCCGGGCACCAGGGAAGCCUGAGACGGCGUCACAACUGUGCGUGGCCUUUCCUCACCGUGGACAGGGUGGGGACAGGCUACGGAAGCCAAGGCACAGAGACCACACCAGCGUGAGGAGACUCGGCUCCCCCAGAAUCACUGGGCGGGAAGCCUGCUUCAGGGCCCAGAGCCAGCAGCUCAGGCCACACGGGGACAAGCGAGAACAGCCAAGCGGGAACAGCCAAGCGGGACACACUUAUGACAGUUUAGCACACAGAGCGUGUGGCCAGCUGGGCUGCCGUGAAGGCCAGCUAGGCCUCUCCUCGCUAAGAAAACCCAGAAGUAUGCGUA